GUUUACAGUCCCACCAACAGUGUAAAAGUGUUCCUAUUUCUCCACAUCCUCUCCAGCACCUGUUGUUUCCUGACUUUUGAAUGAUUGCCAUUCUAACUGGUGUGAGAUGGUAUCUCAUUGUGGUUUUGAUUUGCAUUUCUCUGAUGGCCAGUGAUGGUGAACAUUUUUUCAUGUGUUUUUUCACUGCAUAAAUGUCUUCUUUUGAGAAGUGUCUGUUCAUGUCCUUCGCCCACUUUUUGAUGGGGUUGUUUGUUUUUUUCUUGUAAAUUUGUUUGAGUUCAUUGUAGAUUCUGGAUAUUAGCCCUUUGUCAGAUGAGUAGGUUGCGAAGAUUUUCUCCCAUUUUGUAGGUUGCCUGUUCACUCUGAUGGUAGUUUCUUUUGCUGUGCAGAAGCUCUUUAGUCACAUGAUUAUCUUAAUAGAUGCAGAAAAGGCCUUUGACAAAAUUCAACAACGCUUCAUGCUAAAAACUCUCAAUAAAUUAGGUAUUGAUGGGACGUAUCUCAAAAUAAUAAGAGCUAUCUAAGAAAAACCCACAGCCAAUAUCAUACUGAAUGGGCAAAAACUGGAAGCAUUCCCUUUGAAAACUGGCACAAGACAGGGAUGCCCUCUUUCACCACUCCUAUUCAACAUAGUGUUGGAAGUUCUGGCCAGGGCAAUUAGGCAGGAGAAGGAAAUAAAGGGUAUUCGAUUAGGAAAAGAGGAAGUCAAAUUGUCCCUGUUUGCAGAUGACAUGAUGGUAUAUCUAGAAAACCCCAUUGUCUUAGCCCAAAAUCUCCUUAAGCUGAUAAGCAACUUCAGCAAAGUCUCAGGAUACAAAAUCAAUGUACAAAAAUCCCAAGCAUUCUUAUACACCAAUAACAGACAAACAGAGAGCCAAAUCAUGAGUGAACUCCCAUUCGCAAUUGCUUCAAAGAGAAUAAAAUGCCUGUGAAUCCAACUUACAAGGGACGUGAAGGACCUCUUCAAGGAACUACAAACCACUGCUCAAUGAAAUAAAAGAGGAUACCAAGUAAUGGAAGAACAUUCCAUGCUCAUGGGUAGGAAGAAUCAAUAUCGUGAAAAUGGCCAUACGGCCCAAGGGAAUUUAUAGAUUCAAUGCCAUCCCCAUCAAGCUACCAAUGACUUUCUUCACAGAAUUGGAAAAAACUACUUUAAAGUUCAUAUGGAACCAAAAAAGAGCCCACAUCACCAAGUCAACCCUAAGCCAAAAGAACAAAGCUGGAGGCAUCACGCUACCUGACUUCAAACUAUACUACAAGGCUACAGUAACCAAAACAGCAUGGUACUGGUACCAAAACAGAGAUAUAGAUCAAGGGAACAGAACAGAGCCCUCAGAAAUAAUGCCGCAUAUCUGCAACUAUCUGAUCUUUGACAAACCUGAGAAAAACAAGCAACGGGGAAAGGAUUCCCUAUUUAAUAAAUGGUGCUGGGAAAACUGGCUAGCCAUAUGUAGAAAGCUGAAACUGGAUCCCUUCCUUAUACCUUAUACAAAAAUUAAUUCAAGAUGGAUUAAAGACUUAAACGUUAGACCUGAAACCAUAAAAACCCUAGAAGAAAACCUAGGCAUUACCAUUCAGGACAUAGGCAUGGGCAAGGACUUCAUGUCUAAAACACCAAAAGCAAUGGCAACAAAAGCCAAAAUUGACAAAUGGGAUCUAAUUAAAUUAAAGAAAAUCAUAUUUUUUAAGUUGAGAAUGACCUGCCUGAUUGUGGAGAUGAGUUAGUUGACCAUUCAUUCAUUCAUUCAUUCAGGGAAUGUUUUUUGAGUGACUGUUAGUAACAAUACACUGGGGGUUCUCAUUAUCUAUAAGAUGCUAUCAAUAUGUAUACAGAAAAGGGACUAGUUCUUUCAGCAUUUGUUAAACAAAUUACCUUAGAAGGCAACCCAAUUUAGGAGACAGGGUGUAGGCUUUAGAGGCAGACUGAUCUGAGUUUGAAUCUAGGUUCUGCUACAUACUAGCUGUGUUAUUUUUGACAAGUUAAUUGGUGUUCCAAUUUUCAGUAUUAAAUGAGAUAUUUAUAGCAUUAAAACAAUGUACCUAAAACAAUGUCUGAUACAAGUAGGCAUUUAACAAAUAGUCAACAUCAUGGCCAUGCAAAUAGGCACAAUCAACUUAAGUAUCAGCUCAGUUUGCUCCUGUUCUAAUAAUGAUAGGUCUCAGCCCACCUGGUUAUUUCCAAGACUAUUUUGGAAACAUUAUAGAAUCUUGAUUGAUAAACAAUACAAUAGAAUGAUGAUGGUUCAUAAGUAUUCAUAUUUAAACAGUUUGAAUAAAUGUUCAUAAUUAUUUUGCAGUUUAAAAUGGCAGUUUUUCUGGGUACAAGGAAAGAAGACUGCUUUUUGACAUUAUGGAAGGAAGCUGUGAAUAGUAUUAAAUCCCAUUUACAUUUGUAUGCUUUAAAAAUUUCUUGUAUAUAAGCCAGUUCUAAUAAUUUUUUUUUUUUUUUUUGAGAUGGAGUCUUGUUCUUUUCACCCAGGCUGGACUGCAGUAGUGUGAUCUUGGCUCACUGCAACCCCCGCCUCCACCUCCACCUCCGCCUCCGUGGUUCAAGCGAUUCUCCUGCCUCAGGCUCCUGAGUAGCUGGGAUUACAGGUGCCUGCCACCUCACCUGGCUAAUUUUUGUUCUUUUAGUAGAGACGGGGUUUCACUAUGUUGGCCAGGUUGUGAACUCCUGACCUCAGGUGAUCCGCCUGCCUCGGCCUCCCAAAUUGCUGGGAUUACAGGCGUGAGCCACCGCGCCCAGCCCAGUUCUAAUAAUUCUUUAUUUCCCAGUCGUUUAAUGUAAGAAGUAAAGAAAUACAAGUAAGUAUAAUAGAUUUUUAAACUUUCUUUCCUGUUUCCCGAACUUUAAAACCCAUCACUCAAUUUGAAGACAAUGCAUUUUUAUAUGUGUUAGGAAUUCACUUCUUCAUACUUUUCAGAUGCUCAGAGAUUGUGGACAUUAUGCCUUUCAUCCUUUACCUUUGGAACCAACUUGUAUGGGAGAACAACUUAUCAAGUAUAAUUGUACUAUGGUCACACAUGUCCUUUACUCUCCAUGUUGAAAAUAGAACUAUGACAAGGAAGCAAUUACUAGACCAAUGUUUUUUUGGCCCAAAGGAGGCUAGUGCAGAAUCAGACGAGGUUUUGAAGUGAUCUAAAGAUCUUGGAUCACCUGGGUCCUGGUCAUUUCAAGGCUAUAGAAUCUUAAUGUAAAUUGGAGAGAUAUAAUUAUUGAAAAUAAAUCUGGGUCUACUCUAAUAUUGACUUAGACUCAUUUCAAAGUCCUAACAUGAUCUUCAGCCUUCCUUUCAGAGAAACUAAUUCUCUAAAUAUGUAUUCCUAGACCCACUAUCAUUGUCUUUGUACUGAAUGAUUAUUGACAGUUUUUUGGAUUUCUAGAGACCUCUCCUGACAGAGAAAUAUCCUGGUCCCUAGGAAGCAUUCUCUGUGAUUUUGGUUGCUAUUGGUCUGUUACUGGGCUUUGGUGGAAACCGAAUGUUUGACUAUGGAUCAUCAAGUCACCAUGCAACCUGAACUACCUAUCAUGAACUGGGUGCUUUCUGACCUAUCUAGCCAUAAAGUGGGUCAUGCACAGCAGCAUUCCAUCAUCAAAUGAAAGUAUACUUGAUCGGGCUUGAGAAGGUCCUGAAGGCACAAAUAAGUUACAUGAAGAAGUGGCUCAAAUGCCCAUGGUCUCCACUCCUGCCACCCUGCCUCCUCUCCCCUAGCCUGCACCAGUGGCUUCAUGGGGAGUUCCCUAUGAUUAGUUGACAGAGGAAGAGAAGACUAAGGCCUGGUUCACAGAUGAUUCUGCAUGAUAUGCAGGCACUACCUGAAAGUAGACCACUGCAUUACAACCCUUUUCUAGGACAUCCCUGAAGGACAGCAGUGAAGGGAAAUCUUCCCAGUGGGCAGAAUUUCGAGCAGUGCACCUGGUUGUGUACUUUGCCUGGAAGGAGAAAUGUCCAGAUGUGCGAUUAUAUACUGAUUCAUUGGCUGUAGCCAGUGGUUUGGCUGUAUGGUCAGGGACUUGGAAGAAGUAUGAUUGGAAAAUUGGUGACAAAGAAAUUUGGGGAAGAGGUAAGUGGAUGGACCUUUCUGAGUGAUUGAAAACUGAAGAUAUUUGUAUCUCAUGUGAGUGCUCACCAAUGGGUGACCUUGGCGGAGGAGGAUUUCAAUAAUCAAGUGGAUAGGAUGACCUGUUCUGUGGACAUCACUCAGCCUCUUUCCCCAGCCACCUCUCUUAUUCCCCAGUGGACCCAUGAACUAUGUGGUCAUGGUGGCAAGGAUGGAGGUUACACAUGGGCUCAGCAACAUGGACUUCCACUCACCAAGGCUGACCUGGCUACCGCCACUGCUGAGUGCCCAAUUUGCCAGCAGCGGAUACCAACACUGAACCCUCGAUAUGGCGCCAUUCCUCAGAGUGAUCAGCCAGCUACCUGGUGGCAGGUUGAUUAUAUUGGAUCUCUUCCAUCAUAGCAAGGGCAGAGGUUUGUCCUCACUGGAACAGACACUUACUCUGGAUAUGGGUUUGCCUAUCCUGCAUGCAAUGUUUCUGCCAAGACUCCAUCCAUGGAUUCAUGGAAUGCAUUAUCUGUUGUGGGAAGUCAGGGACCCUGAAUAGAGGGACUGGGUGAAGCCACAGCAGAAGAACAUAAAUUGUGAAGAUUUCAUGGACAUUUAUUAAUUCCCUAAAUUAAUACUUUUAUAAUUUCUUAUGCCUGUCUUUACUGCAGUCUCUGAACAUAAAUUGUGAAGAUUUCAUGGACAUUUCUGACUUCUCAAUCAAUACUCUUAUAAUUUCCUAUGCCUGUCUUUACUUUAAUCUCUUAAUCCCAUCAUCUUUGUAAAGUAAGGAUGUAUGUCACCUCAGGACCCUGUGAUGAUUAUGUUAUCUGUAUAAGUUGUUUGUAAAACAUGCGUGUUUGAACAAUAUGAAAUCUGGGCAUCCUAAAAGAACAGGAUAACAGUGAUUUUCAGGGAACAAGGGAAAUAACCAUAAAGUCUGACUGCCUGCGGGGCGGGGCGGGGCAGAACAGAGUCAUAUUUCUCUUCUUGCAAAAGCGAAUAAGAGAAAUAUCACUGAAUUCUUUUUCUCAGCAAGGAACAGCCCUGGGAAAAGAAUGCACUCCCACUGACAGGCCCCUAAAAUGGCCGCUCUGGGAGUGUCUGUCUUAUGCAGUUGUAGAUAAGGGAUG
ensembl:lncRNA MIR4280HG MIR4280 host gene